UACGGAGGGGGCGAGCGUUAUUCGGAAUUAUUUGGGCGUAAAGGGCGCGUAGGCGGCUUGGCAAGUCAAAGGUGAAAUCCCUCGGCCCAACUGAGGAACUGCCUUUGAAACUGCCUGCUUGAGGCCGGGAGGGGUAGCGGAAUUCCCAGUGUAGCGGUGAAAUGCGUAGAUAUUGGGGAGGAACACCAGUGGCGAAGGCGCUAC
rnacentral:rRNA from 1 species